rnacentral:rRNA from 1 species
UACGUAGGGGGCAAGCGUUGUCCGGAUUUAUUGGGCGUAAAGAGCGUGUAGGCGGCUAGAUAGGUCCGUUGUGAAAACUCGAGGCUUAACCUCGAGACGCCGGCUGAAACCCUCUGGCUAGAGUCCGGAAGAGGAGAGCGGAAUUCCUGGUGUAGCGGUGAAAUGCGUAGAUAUCUGGAGGAAUACCGGUGGCGAAGGCGGCAUCCUGGACCGGCAUUGACGCUGAAGCGCGAAAGCUAGGGGAGCAAACGGG